AUGUGCAGCCUCUCCUCGCUCUGUGCUGGGCAGAGCCGAGUCCUGCCGCUCCGAGCGCUUCUUGGGAUCGUUCCUUGCCAAAGCACCCCUGUAGCUGAUGGCUCCAGGAGGAGCCGUAGGUUGUCCUGCUUCUCUGCCCUCCCUGGGCUGGAUGGCUCCGUGCCGUGCCUGGUGGCUCCGUGCCCACUCUGGGCCAGCUCAGUGGGAUCAGGCCCCAAGUGGCCUGGUCGGGGCAGCACGGAGGCACCCGCUGGGCAGGGGCACGGCGUCGGGAGGGGAGGGCGUUGGGGAGCUGCACGCUGCCUCCGGGGCCCCUGCCGAACGCUGCUGGGGGGCCGGGUGGAACCUGUCCGCAUGCCCCUGCCGCGCCCAGGACACGUGCACGCGUGCGCUGAGAGCAUGUCCUUCCUCCUAAUAAACCACUGUGAGAACCCGUGUCUGGUGGGUGCUGCUGGCCUGGCUGGACAGGGAUGCGGGGCCGGGGGCUCCGUGCAGCUCUGCCCGGGGGGCUCCUGGCUGGCAGAGGCUGCUGGCGGCGUGAUGGGGGCCUGGGGUGCUGCCCGCUGGAGUGCUGCGUCCCCGCAGCAGGUGGGGGUGUGGGAUGGCCACGCCGUGGGGCCGGGACAGCGGCGUCCCCUGCUCGGGGCCUUGGGCAGCUGGGCCCCCAGCCCGUGCCCUGCCCGCUGCCCUCCUGCCGGCCUCCCUGCCUUCUGUGCCGCGGAGCAUCCCCAUCCCCAAACCCUGCAGCUGUGGCUGGGUGCUGGCGAGGAAGGGAAGGUGGCAGCCACAUCUCUGCUCGGCGGUACCCCGUGCCCCCGGCUCCCCCCCGGCCCACCAGCCACCAAGAUCCGGGCUGGCGCGGGGGCCCCUUCCUGUCCUGUUUCCCUCCUGCCUGCCCUGGGCCAGCUGCGCUCCUGCGGGCUCUGCCUCCACUUCCCCUGGCAGGGAAACGGUGACUCUGCUUGGAAGGAAUUUUCCUGCUGUCUCCCCUCUCUGCGACUUAACCCUUCCCCAGCUGGCCAGCGUAUGCCCCAGCAGCUCGCGAGGUCACCGAGCUGGGCAGCCGUUUCUUCACUGCUGCCAGCCCUCCUCCUCCUCCUUCCCCUCCCAGCAGCUGCUGCAGCCACGAGCGGUGCGGCGGGACGUGUCGGGGUGGGACGUGUUGCGGGCUGGGACAGGGCAGCGAGGGGCUCAGCGUGGUGCCGCCGUGCUCCAGGCAGCCCGGGCAGGGGGGGAAGGGGGCGAUGGGCAGGCAGCCCCGGCUGCACUGGGCCGUGCCCGCGCCCCAGCCCGGUGCUGUGGUGGUCAGCAGCGCGUGCCUGGCCACACGUGACGGUGAGACGUUCGGGCACCUCCGGUAACAGCUCCGUCCUCGCCACACUUUCCUGUGUCCCACCAGAGCAUCAGCCCCGUGGGGCUGCACAACGCCGAGGGCCGUGGAGGGUGCUGCGGCUGGGUGAGUCCGGCUGCUCCCUUGUCCCUCUUGCGUGCAGGGCUGGGCAGGGAGAACGGGGGUGGGCCAAGCCCCCGGCCCCCUCCCAGGAGGGCUGCAGCCCUGAGCCCAGCAGCGUGGGGACAGCCCCGGCUGGGUUGGGGCAGGGGUGGCCCUGCGAGAGGAGAGACCUCGCUCCCGCUGCCUGGGGCAGGGCUGCUGCACAGUGCGAGGCGAGAGCCGGGGCUGGCCCCCAGCCCCUUGGCCCUGGGAGGCUGCUGGGGGCUGGCCCGUCCCCGGCCAGGCUUUGGCACUGA
rnacentral:lncRNA from 1 species